GGCUUCAACAUCCCCGCCGGUUGGGCGUCGUAAGGUGCAGCGAACCGACUGGAGCC
rnacentral:sRNA from 12 species